ACUUUCCAAAAAGGCAGCGCGGAAACUACGGCGUGUGACAGGGACUGCCACCUGCCCGGGUCUUGUCAGACCUCCUGCGGCUCGCUGCUGGAAUGAUCAGCCUGCCUCUGUUGUGCAGCCAGAUAGACCGCACCGACGGAACCUUGGCAGAAGCGAGGGCCUCGCUCAUGCUCGUUUUGGAAGAAUCAACUGAAAAACCUCCCUAAGACCUGUCUGGACAGGUUGCCAAAUCCCUGCCUGCAGCAGGUCCCCAUGGGAGCCUGAUCCCAGCCUCUUUUCCCCAUCCCUCUCCAAGGUGGGAGCUCGGACACCCUGCCUGUCUUCACUGAUUCCCUCUCUGCCACCAGCCGAGAUGCAAAUUCCUCAUAUGGAUUAAAAAAGAACCUCUGCCUGCCACUUCUUCCCACCCUCUGUUACUCUUGAUGCCUAUAGUAGUGUCCUGUUGGCAUCAGCUGCAGCUUGCUUAAUGUAUUGUUUACUCCCAGGAACUGCAGAAUGUCAGACAAGAAGAGAGAAAGGUAUUGGCCAGCUAUUUGUUCAGUUACGUUGUUACCACCAAACCAGUGUAUGAAAAUCAUGUCACAUAGUACAAAAUAUUAUAAGACUAAUAUUUCUUUUGCUCCCCAUUAAAUUGUCUUUGCACCAAAACUAAGCACUUAUCAGUAGACUUGCUUUUUUUCUGGCUUGGUGUGAGCUGAUGUCGUCUCAAGAAAGCUGUAAUCCUCAAAAUGUGCCAAAGCCUAUUGUUUUCUGUCACAGGUAAAUUAUGAUACCUCCACUUCCAUGCAGCCAAAAUGAAAUAAGCAAAUGCAUUGGGAAAGACAGCUUGAAGUGACUGCUAUCUUA